UUUAUGGAGAGUUUGAUCCUGGCUCAGAGUGAACGCUGGCGGCGUGCCUAAUACAUGCAAGUCGAACGAUGAAGCUUCUAGCUUGCUAGAAUGCUGAUUAGUGGCGCACGGGUGAGUAACGCAUAGGUCAUGUGCCUCUUAGUUUGGGAUAGCCAUUGGAAACGAUGAUUAAUACCAGAUACUCCCUACGGGGGAAAGAUUUAUCGCUAAGAGAUCAGCCUAUGUCCUAUCAGCUUGUUGGUAAGGUAAUGGCUUACCAAGGCUAUGACGGGUAUCCGGCCUGAGAGGGUGAACGGACACACUGGAACUGAGACACGGUCCAGACUCCUACGGGAGGCAGCAGUAGGGAAUAUUGCUCAAUGGGGGAAACCCUGAAGCAGCAACGCCGCGUGGAGGAUGAAGGUUUUAGGAUUGUAAACUCCUUUUGUUAGAGAAGAUAAUGACGGUAUCUAACGAAUAAGCACCGGCUAACUCCGUGCCAGCAGCCGCGGUAAUACGGAGGGUGCAAGCGUUACUCGGAAUCACUGGGCGUAAAGAGCGCGUAGGCGGGAUAGUCAGUCAGGUGUGAAAUCCUAUGGCUUAACCAUAGAACUGCAUUUGAAACUACUAUUCUAGAGUGUGGGAGAGGUAGGUGGAAUUCUUGGUGUAGGGGUAAAAUCCGUAGAGAUCAAGAGGAAUACUCAUUGCGAAGGCGACCUGCUGGAACAUUACUGACGCUGAUUGCGCGAAAGCGUGGGGAGCAAACAGGAUUAGAUACCCUGGUAGUCCACGCCCUAAACGAUGGAUGCUAGUUGUUGGAGGGCUUAGUCUCUCCAGUAAUGCAGCUAACGCAUUAAGCAUCCCGCCUGGGGAGUACGGUCGCAAGAUUAAAACUCAAAGGAAUAGACGGGGACCCGCACAAGCGGUGGAGCAUGUGGUUUAAUUCGAAGAUACACGAAGAACCUUACCUAGGCUUGACAUUGAGAGAAUCCGCUAGAAAUAGUGGAGUGUCUAGCUUGCUAGACCUUGAAAACAGGUGCUGCACGGCUGUCGUCAGCUCGUGUCGUGAGAUGUUGGGUUAAGUCCCGCAACGAGCGCAACCCCCUUUCUUAGUUGCUAACAGGUUAUGCUGAGAACUCUAAGGAUACUGCCUCCGUAAGGAGGAGGAAGGUGGGGACGACGUCAAGUCAUCAUGGCCCUUACGCCUAGGGCUACACACGUGCUACAAUGGGGUGCACAAAGAGAAGCAAUACUGCGAAGUGGAGCCAAUCUUCAAAACACCUCUCAGUUCGGAUUGUAGGCUGCAACUCGCCUGCAUGAAGCUGGAAUCGCUAGUAAUCGCAAAUCAGCCAUGUUGCGGUGAAUACGUUCCCGGGUCUUGUACUCACCGCCCGUCACACCAUGGGAGUUGUGUUUGCCUUAAGUCAGGAUGCUAAAUUGGCUACUGCCCACGGCACACACAGCGACUGGGGUGAAGUCGUAACAAGGUAACCGUAGGUGAACCUGCGGUUGGAUCACCUCCUUUCUAGA
rnacentral:rRNA from 1 species